AUGGAGGCCAAGGCCGCCGCCGUGUCCCUGUCGGCGCCGCUGCCCUGGUGCCGCGUCGGCGGUAGCAACGGCCCGCUCGCGUGCUCUGCCUCUGCGCGGAGAUCGCGCAGGUGCGGGUACCACCAUGGCGCGCCCCUCAGAUCACUCGCUCGCCCCUCCUCCUCUGCCCGCUCCUUCCCCGCCGGCCGCGUCUACGCUAUGGCCGCGGCCGCAACGGCGCCGGUGAAGGAGCAGGACCUCGUCUUCGUCGCCGGUGCCACGGGAAAGGUCGGCUCCCGGACCGUAAGGGAGCUCAUCAAGCUGGGCUUCCGCGUCCGCGCCGCCGUCCGGAGCAAGGAGAGAGCGUCGCCCCUCGUGCAGAGCGUGGAGCGGCUGGAGCUCGGCGAAGGGAGCGCCCCGGCCUCGAGGCUGGAGCUGGUCGAGUGCGACCUGGAGAAGCAGGGCGAGGCGGGCAUCAAGGCGGCCAUCGGCGACGCGGCGCUCGUGGUGUGCUCCAUCGGCGCCAGCGAGAAGGAGAUCCUCGACGUCACGGGCCCCUACCGCAUCGACUACGUGGCCACCGCCAACCUCGUGCGCGCCGCGGCCAAGGCCGGCGUCGAGCACUUCGUCCUCGUCACCUCCCUCGGCACCACCAGAUUCGGGUUCCCGGCCGCCCUCCUGAACUUGUUCUGGGGUGUACUGUGCUGGAAGAAGAUGGCGGAGGAGGCGCUGGUGGCCAGCGGCGUCCCGUACACGAUCGUGCGGCCGGGAGGCAUGGAGAGGCCGACGGACGCGUACAAGGAGACGCACAACCUGGUGGUGUCGCCGCGGGACACGUACGUCGGCGGCCUGGUGUCCAACCUGCAGGUCGCGGAGCUGAUCGCGUGCGUGGCCAAGAACAGGAGGGCGGCCUACUGCAAGGUGGUGGAGCUCGUGGCCGAGACCACCGCGCCGCUGCUGCCCAUGGAGGACCUCCUCGCCAGGGUCCCCUCCGACCCCGGCAGGGCACCGCCCCCUGCUCCCGCGGCUCCGGCCGUCGUUGCCGAGGCGCCGAAGGAGUCGCCUCCAGCAGCUGCGGCGGCACCAACACCAGCUGCAGUACCUCCAGCACCGGCACCGGCACCGGCAGCGUCGGUGGCACCCCCAGCAGCUGCAGCACCUCCAGCAGCGGCACCACCACCAGCUGCAGCACCUCCAGCACCGGCACCAGUUGCAGCAGCAAAAGCAGAGCGGCCGCUCUCGCCAUACGCGGCGUACGAAGAUUUGAAGCCGCCAUCGUCCCCAACACCCAGCUUUAGCAGCGGCACCACCGGUCAGGCGGUGAAGGAGUCGCCUCCUGCACCGGCACCGGCACCAGCUGCUCCGGCUCCUCCUCCUCCGGCUGCUCCUGCUGCUUCUGCAAAGCCACGGCCGCUCUCACCUUACGCGGCGUACGAGGGGCUGAAGCCACCGUCUUCCCCGACACCCAGCAGGAGCAGCAGCAAGAAAAACGAUGACGGCGAUUCUCCAUCGCCGCCGCCCACUGCCGCCUCUCCGGAGGCAGCAACCAGCACCACUGCCGAGGCGGCGGCAGCCGAGCCCUCCUCGCCGCUGUUGGAUUCCAACGCCAACGGCGCUCCCGCCACCGCCGCCCCCACUGCUGAUCCAGGGCGCCCACUUUCACCAUACGCGAGGUACGAAGACCUGAAACCUCCAACCACGCCCACUCCAUCCGCCCCCAAAGUAUAG
rnacentral:rRNA from 1 species